rnacentral:rRNA from 1 species
GACAGAGGCCCCAAGCGUUAGGCGGAAUCACUGGGCUUAAAGCGUGUGUAGGCGGACGCCUAAGUGUCUUGUGAAAUCCCACGGCUCACCCGUGGAACUGCUGGGCAUACUGGGCGUCUUGGGCCAACUAGGGGCAGCCGGAACAAGCGGUGGAGCGGUGAAAUGCGUAGAUAUCGCUUGGAACGCCGAAGGUGAAAACAGGCUGCUGGGGUUGUGCCGACGCUGAGGCGCGAAAGCCAGGGGAGCAAACGGG